rnacentral:rRNA from 1 species
GUGCUUAACACAUGCAAGUCGAACGAUGAAGCCCAGCUUGCUGGGUGGAUUAGUGGCGAACGGGUGAGUAACACGUGAGUAACCUGCCCUUCACUCUGGGAUAACUCCGGGAAACCGGUGCUAGUACUGGAUACGACUCCAACCUGCAUGGGUAUGGGGUGGAAAGAUUUAUCGGUGGAGGAUGGACUCGCGGCCUAUCAGCUUGUUGGUGGGGUAAUGGCCUACCAAGGCGACGACGGGUAGCCGGCCUGAGAGGGUGACCGGCCACACUGGGACUGAGACACGGCCCAGACUCCUACGGGAGGCAGCAGUGGGGAAUAUUGCACAAUGGGCGGAAGCCUGAUGCAGCGACGCCGCGUGAGGGAUGACGGCCUUCGGGUUGUAAACCUCUUUCAGCUCUGACGAAGCUUUUGUGACGGUAGGAGCAGAAGAAGCACCGGCUAACUACGUGCCAGCAGCCGCGGUAAUACGUAGGGUGCGAGCGUUGUCCGGAAUUAUUGGGCGUAAAGAGCUUGUAGGCGGUUUGUCGCGUCUGCUGUGAAAGCCCGGGGCUUAACCCCGGGUCUGCAGUGGGUACGGGCAGGCUAGAGUGUGGUAGGGGAGACUGGAAUUCCUGGUGUAGCGGUGGAAUGCGCAGAUAUCAGGAGGAACACCGAUGGCGAAGGCAGGUCUCUGGGCCACUACUGACGCUGAGAAGCGAAAGCGUGGGGAGCGAACAGGAUUAGAUACCCUGGUAGUCCACGCCGUAAACGUUGGGCGCUAGGUGUGGGUCCCAUUCCACGGGGUCCGUGCCGCAGCUAACGCAUUAAGCGCCCCGCCUGGGGAGUACGGCCGCAAGGCUAAAACUCAAAUGAAUUGACGG